AGUGAACGCUGGCGGUAGGCCUAACACAUGCAAGUCGAACGGCAGCACAGUAAGAGCUUGCUCUUACGGGUGGCGAGUGGCGGACGGGUGAGGAAUACAUCGGAAUCUACUUUUUCGUGGGGGAUAACGUAGGGAAACUUACGCUAAUACCGCAUACGACCUACGGGUGAAAGCAGGGGAUCUUCGGACCUUGCGCGAUUGAAUGAGCCGAUGUCGGAUUAGCUAGUUGGCGGGGUAAAGGCCCACCAAGGCGACGAUCCGUAGCUGGCCUGAGAGGAUGAUCAGCCACACUGGAACUGAGACACAGUCCAGACUCCUACGGGAGGCAGCAGUGGGGAAUAUUGGACAAUGGGCGCAAGCCUGAUCCAGCCAUACCGCGUGGGUGAAGAAGGCCUUCGGGUUGUAAAGCCCUUUUGUUGGGAAAGAAAAGCAGCAGGUUAAUACCCCGCUGUUCUGACGGUACCCAAAGAAUAAGCACCGGCUAGCUUCGUG
rnacentral:rRNA from 1 species